rnacentral:lncRNA from 1 species
AAGGAGUAUAAAAGCAGAUAUUAUUAAGUACCUUAGUAAGAGACUUGGGAACUCCUUUCUGACAAGCAUAAAAGAAAGAAAGAACAAGGGGAGGAGUGGCUGCUAUCCCAAAUAGGAAGCUACUUAAACUUUAGUUCAAUACCUGCAACUCACUCUGGAUAUAUACUACUAUCUUCUAGUUAUGUUCCUUCUUAUCUAGUUAUCUUCUGCACCAUCAUCAUUGGAUUCAGAAUCCACUGUUCAUUUUCAGGCUUGCAUCUUACAUCUGCCUCGGAAGCAAUUUCGAUUCAAUGUGUUCUCCACAUGAACCCUCAUCUUUACUUUUAAGUUUCUGUCCAAUAGGUUAUAGAGCAUUUAGCAUCAAACAUACGCGAAAAUGUAACUCUGUAUAUGAAGCCAGAAAAUGAAUGAAAAUGGAAAUAUAGAGGCUUGAAAUGAGGAUAAGAGAGUUUAACAGAACUUGAAAUUGACAGUAAAAGAUUGAGGGUCAUGGUAAGAUCUGUUAGUUCUUCACAAUCAAAUGGAGCACAAUUUUUACAUAAAUUUCCUGCUCAUUCACUUCGUUUGAUCUUCUCUGAUUCUAAUAGAAUGUUUCAGGGAUAUCUUCCAAAAUUCUUCUGCAUAUUGAACUAGUCAAAAUUAAUAUGAUUCACACGGUUUUCUACCAUAUGCAGUUCAAUUUCAUUGUAGUUACUUAACUUACAAGUUAAGAGGGGGCAAAAUUAUCCAUAGAACACUAUACCUGUGCUAUACAGAACAUUAUCAGUGGCAAACUUCAUGACAGAUGAAAACGAUACACUGUGAAUACAACAUGUUCAAAGAUAACAUGAAUGCAAAUAGAGGAAACUUGAAAGUUUAUCAUACCUACUCAAGUAACUAAAUUAAGCUAAAAUGGCUUCUUGUCCCUCUCUGUAUAGGCUGCAUAAUCAUAGCGAUACAGAUGACUACGCAAGAUUUCCUACUUUCUUGUACCUAUCUUUUCUUCCUUCCCUAACAGUAAUCUAAGCGUCAAAGAGAAUUUUAUUUCUGACCUCCUCCAAUAGAUAGGAAAUAGAUGAAGCGUGGUAAAAGAGUGAAACUAUACGUGUACUCAGUCCCUGAGGAAAGGGCUAGUUAAAGAACAAUCACGGUACACAUAUGUUGGGAUCUAAUUCAUAAAUAUUCAGAUAAGCACACUGCAGUAAGCAUUAGGAAAUCUAACCAUCGGCUUCCAGUCAGAAAAAAGUUCAUUAAAAGCUGGUAGAGAAAUCUUUACCAAUUUGCUAAGUGGUUCAGAAAUUUCAAGGUAAGCGGACAGGGAUGAAGAAGCUAC